AUCCUCAGCUGGCUGAGGUGAUACCAAAAUCAGGAAGGUGGUUUUUCCAGGAAGAAGAUUAUCCAUUGUACUAUGCAUGUGCUGACCCCUGUGAUUUUCCCAAAUGUGGGAAAGUUAAACACUUAAUUUGUAGGAGAUGUGGUGGAGGAGAGUGUAUGCAUUAUCCCCUA